AGUGAACGCUGGCGGUAGGCCUAACACAUGCAAGUCGAACGGCAGCACAGUAAGAUCUUGCUCUUACGGGUGGCGAGUGGCGGACGGGUGAGGAAUACAUCGGAAUCUACUUUUUCGUGGGGGAUAACGUAGGGAAACUUACGCUACUACCGCAUACGACCUACGGGUGAAAGCAGGGGAUCUUCGCACCUUGCGCGAUUGAAUGAGCCGAUGUCGGUUUAGCUAGUUGGCGGGGUAAAGGCCCACCAAGGCGACGAUCCGUAGCUGGUCUGAGAGGAUGAUCAGCCACACUGGAACUGAGACACGGUCCAGACUCCUACGGGAGGCAGCAGUGGGGAAUAUUGAACAAUGGGCGCAAGCCUGAUCCAGCAAUACCGCGUGAGUGAAGAAGGCCUUCGGGUUGUAAAGCCCUUUUGUUGGGAAAGAAAAGCAGCAGGUUAAUACACCGAUGUUCUGACGGUACCCAAAGAAUAAGCACCGGCUAACUUCGUG
rnacentral:rRNA from 1 species